rnacentral:rRNA from 1 species
AGCAGUCGCCGCGGUAAUACGGAGGGUGCAAGCGUUAAUCGGAAUUACUGGGCGUAAAGCGCACGCAGGCGGUUUGUUAAGUCAGAUGUGAAAUCCCCGAGCUUAACUUGGGAACUGCAUUUGAAACUGGCAAGCUAGAGUCUUGUAGAGGGGGGUAGAAUUCCAGGUGUAGCGGUGAAAUGCGUAGAGAUCUGGAGGAAUACCGGUGGCGAAGGCGGCCCCCUGGACAAAGACUGACGCUCAGGUGCGAAAGCGUGGGGAGCAAACAGGAUUAGAUACCCGAGUAGUCCCUGUCUCUUAUAC